GCCUCGCUAGCUCAAUUGGCUAGAGCGUGAGACUUUUACGAAGAAAUUCGCAGCGAUCUCAAGGUUGCGGGUUCGACCCCCGCGUGAGGCU